rnacentral:misc_RNA from 1 species
GAAUCAACUACUUCAAAUCCUUGAAUAUCCAUUUACAUGUUAAAAAUGGCUAGAUGAUUGGCCAAGAAUCCUUUUUUUUCUUUAAUGGCUGUAUGAGGCUCAGAUGCCAAGAAACAACAUUAUGCAUAUACACUCAAUGCCCAUGUAAACCUUGAAAGGGCACAGAGAUUCACAGAUGAGCAACACUGAACAGUUUCAACAUUGGGUACUUCAUUUGUGCUAUUGAGAAUUCACCUUUUGUCCACAAGGUCAGUUUUAUUUCCAACAAGGACGAUGAUCACAUCACUGCCCCUCUCAGUGCGAACCUCUUCAAUCCAUUUUGAUGUGUUCAAGAAAGUUUGCCUGCUUGCAACAUCAUACACAAUGACAGCAACUGAGGAAUCUCUGAUGUAGCUUGGGAUGAGACUUCUGAAUCUUUCCUGUCCAGCUGUAUCCCUGAAACCACACACCUUAACCAAUAUUAGCAUUCCACGUUGGAGGUUUUCCUAAAACAUGGAAAACCAAGCAUAAACCGAAAUUAAAUAUCAGUAAUAUUAUCACAGACAUCCUUGCACUUAACACGUACAUAAAGAUAGAUAGGUAUGCAUGCAUGCGUCAUGAUAAUGAAGAGAAUAGAGCUGUGAUAAUGUAUAGGAGAGAAAUAUUAUAAAUAGGAAGCAUUGUAACUAAUAAGGGUCAGCCAAGAAUUGAAUCUCUCUACUUCUUUCUCUCUCACUUCCUUUCCUUCUUUCUCAAUAUUCUUCCUCUAUUGUUCUCCCUUUCUCUCUAUUUUCUUCUUUUUUUUAUACUGGCUUUCUCUGCCCUCUCCCCUUCAAUGUUUGCACUUUUUGUUUGAUUCUAUUUUUCUUAUUCCUUCUCUCAUUGCAUUUUUGUCAUUCUUCUGCUUUCCUUCUUCUCAUUUGCUACUCUCCAGGUUUUCCCCCUUUAUUUUUAACUUUUUGUGACUCUUUCUUUUAAAAUUGUAUUGUUUUCCUUAGAACAUUGCCUCCUUUCUGUCAACAAUAUGAAUUGCUUCCCCAUUAUCAGGAAAAUGAGCUAAAUGCACAAUAAAUGAGUGUAUUAGCUUUUUAAAUACAAUGAGAAAGAUAUUUUGCACUGCAAAUAUCUUCCACAAAUUCAUUAUCAAUUGCUGCUGAAAUUGAAUUUUCUUGUAGAUGUAGUUUCUUCCCUAAUGAACAAUCUUCACAAAACAUCAAACUUCCCUUGCAGAAAAUGUUACCACCCCAUCCCUGUUCUUUCUCUCAAGCCAACAAUAUAAUUUCACAUUUCUGAACUCCUAUUUCAUUUCCAUCUUUAGUGGGAUUUUCACAAGUUAACGACCUCGUUUGUAGCAAAUAUUGCCAAACAUGGCUUUCCCAUCUCUAUUCUUUCUCUUAAGCCAACAGUGAAAUUCACAUAAACUCAUGUUUCAUCUCCCCUCUCUCUCUCUCUCUCUC